UUUUUUUUUGAGUUAAAGAAAAGAUGGAUUCUUUAUCUUUCUACUUGCUAGGGCUAAUUAAUUGAACCGGAAAAAAAGAGAGUUAUUAAUUCCUCUUUUAUGGGGAUUAGUAUUUAAUACUGGUCUGUUUCUAUUUGAGACUUUAAAAUAUUCAUUUUACUCUGGUUCUGAAGCUUCCGUAUUGCGAGUAUAGAUGAAUACUCAAUAUGUCCUGGAAAUUAAGGACAAAUUCUGUGAAAUACAGUGUAUACCAAGUUAAGAAAAAAAAAAUAGAGUACAAAUUCUGUGAAAUACAGUGUAUACGUAUUGCGAGUGUAGUACUACUUAAGAAACAAAAUAGAGUACAAAAAUAUCAUAAAUAUUUUAGCAAUUUUUUUUGAAUAAAUAAUUGGGAACUGUAAAAAAGAAUUAAAAAUCUUUUGGUUGUGAUUUAUUUCAGGAUGACACGGUUGAUCCCAAUAUAACUAUUUAAUUUCUCUUCUGUAAGUAUCACUUUCAUUCAAUUAUCUUUCGUGAAAAGGAUUUAAGAGUAGGAGAAGAACAAACAACCCAGAGGGGGGUGGGGAUUGGGCGUUGUUUGUAUGUGGGUGUGUGCAUACAUUACGAAUCCAUUGCACUCCCGUGAGAGUGACAAAAGUUGGUGGACAGAAAGAAAAAGGAGAGAGAAAAAUAUAUAGAAUCCCUCAUAUGGUGCCCACCCUCUCUGUCUUAUCCUUACAGCCACUUCCCCAUUUCUCCCUCCACUCUUCUCAAUUCUGAGGGAGGGGAAAAUCCAGCUUGAUUUUCUUCUUCUUACUAUGUAGGGCCCUACAAUUUGUUGUUAAGCUUUUAUGAUCACUGUUAAUUUUCACAUUUCCCUCACCAAGAGGACACUGAUCUUAUGUGAUUUGGAGCUUCAGACUUCUUUUUUCUAAUCCCUUGAGCUAUCUUAUCUGCCAUUGCCUGAGUCUGAUCUGCUUGAAUGUGUGUUAAUAUCAUAAUUUAAAGGGAGACCAUUUGUAAUUUUGCUUUGGCUGAUCAAUUCACACUCAUUUAGAUCUAACUUCCUGUAAAGAUGUAUGCUUUAUAUUUUCCUUUUCUUUUCCCUAAUGGGCUCUCUUUUCUUUUUUCCUCUGUCUAGUAUCUUACUUUUUGGUUGUGGAUUUUGUGGCAGAUUUACAGUAGAGAAAAGGAUCUCCUUUCUGCAAAUUGGGGUAUUAUAAUCCAAUGUGGGAGUUAUCAAAAGUCUGCUAAAUGUAUGAAUUGAGAUAUCAACGUGGUUCAAUUUAGACUGUGUGG
rnacentral:lncRNA from 1 species